CCUACGGGAGGCUGCAGUGGGGAAUAUUGGACAAUGGGGGCAACCCUGAUCCAGCCAUGCCGCGUGUGUGAAGAAGGCCCUCGGGUUGUAAAGCACUUUCAGUGAGGAAGAACGCCUGGUGGUUAAUACCCAUCAGGAAAGACAUCACUCACAGAAGAAGCACCGGCUAACUCCGUGCCAGCAGCUGCGGUAAUACGGAGGGUGCGAGCGUUAAUCGGAAUUACUGGGCGUAAAGCGCGCGUAGGUGGCUUGAUAAGCCGGUUGUGAAAGCCCCGGGCUCAACCUGGGAACGGCAUCCGGAACUGUCAAGCUAGAGUGCAGGAGAGGAAGGUAGAAUUCCCGGUGUAGCGGUGAAAUGCGUAGAGAUCGGGAGGAAUACCAGUGGCGAAGGCGGCCUUCUGGACUGACACUGACACUAAGGUGCGAAAGCGUGGGUAGCAAACAGGAUUAGAUACCCUAGUAGUC
rnacentral:rRNA from 1 species